rnacentral:rRNA from 1 species
AACGAACGCUGGCGGCAUGCCUAACACAUGCAAGUCGAACGAGACCUUCUGGUCUAGGGGCGCACGGGUGCGUAACGCGUGGGAACCUGCCCUUAGGUUCGGAAUAACUUCCCGAAAGGGGUGCUAAUACCGGAUAAUGUCUUCUGACCAAAGAUUUAUCGCCUUUGGAUGUGCCCGCGUUGGAUUAGCUAGUUGGUAGGGUAAGAGCCUACCAAGGCGACGAUCCAUAGCUGGGUUGAGAGGAUGAUCCGCCACACUGGGACUGAGACACGGCCCAGAACCCUACGGGAGGGAGGAGUGGGGAAUAUUGGACAAGGGGCGAAAGCCUGAUCCAGCAAUGCCGCGUGAGAGAUGAAGGCCUUAGGGUUGUAAAGCUAUUUUACACGGGAUGAUAAUGACAGUACCGGGAGAAUAAGCGCCGGCUAACUACGUG